UGGUGGAACUUGACUUUCAGGACAACCGCUCCAUGGUUCCUGCGCUCCAAGUCCGCUACCUGGUGAAUUUCGACUCUCGGAGGACAAGGAAGACGAGGAGAACAAGGUGGACGAUGAGAACGAGGAUUUCUGCACAUAUUCGAGGUAUAACCCUGGGUGAUUCCGGGUGAUCGAGGUGGACGAGGACUACAAGGAUUUCUGCACAAUAUAACCCGAGGUGGUUAGCAAUGGUCGUUG